ACUGAAUAGAUACCCUGGUAGUCCACGCCGUAAACGAUGAGAACUAGCUGUCGGGGGCCUUAGGCUUUCGGUGGCGCAGCUAAACGCAUUAAGUUCUCCGCCUGGGGAGUACGGCCGCAAGGUUAAAACUCAAAGAAAUUGACGGGGGCCGUGCACAAGCGGUGGAGCAUGUGGUUUAAAUUCGAAGCAACGCGCAGAACCUUACCAGCGUUUGACAUCCUCAUCGCGGAUUCCAGAGAUGGUUUCCUUCAGUUCGGCUGGAUGAGUGACAGGUGCUGCAUGGCUGUCGUCAGCUCGUGUCGUGAGAUGUUGGGUUAAGUCCCGCAACGAGCGCAACCCUCGUCUUUAGUUGCCAUCAUUUAGUUGGGCACUCUAAAGAAACCGCCGGUGAUAAGCCGGAGGAAGGUGGGGAUGACGUCAAGUCCUCAUGGCCCUUACGCGCUGGGCUACACACGUGCUACAAUGGCGGUGACAGUGGGCAGCAAUCCCGCGAGGGGUGAGCUAAUCUCCAAAAGCCGUCUCAGUUCGGA
rnacentral:rRNA from 1 species